GACGUAGGGCGCGAGCGUUGUCCGGAUUUAUUGGGCGUAAAGAGCUCGUAGGCGGUUUGUCGCGUCUGCCGUGAAAGUCCGGGGCUCAACUCCGGAUCUGCGGUGGGUACGGGCAGACUAGAGUGAUGUAGGGGGAGACUGGAAUUCCUGGUGUAGCGGUGAAAUGCGCAGAUAUCAGGAGGAACACCGAUGGCGAAGGCAGGUCUCUGGGCAUUAACUGACGCUGAGGAGCGAAAGCAUGGGGGAGCGAACAGG
rnacentral:rRNA from 1 species